CCCCUAGAUGGCCUGGGCUGCACGCGGGCUACAAUGGUAUAUUCAGCGUGAGUUGUUUACCGAAAGGUAGAUCAAAUCUUCAAAUUAUACCGUACUUGGGAUUGGACAUUGCAAUUGUUGUCCAUGAACGAGGAAUUCCUAGUAAGUGCAUGUCAUUAGCGUGCGCUGAUUACGUCCCUGCCCUUUGUACACACCGCCCGUCGCUCCUACCGAUUGGGUGCUGGGGUGAACAUUGUGGAGAUUUGAGCUUCGGCUUGGUCAAAGCAAUGUGAAUCUUGCCGCCUAGAGGAAGGAGAAGUCGUAACA
rnacentral:rRNA from 1 species